rnacentral:rRNA from 1 species
UAGGGAAUCUUCGGCAAUGGACGAAAGUCUGACCGAGCAACGCCGCGUGAGUGAAGAAGGUUUUCGGAUCGUAAAACUCUGUUGUUAGAGAAGAACAAGGAUGAGAGUAGAAUGUUCAUCCCUUGACGGUAUCUAACCAGAAAGCCACGGCUAACUACGUGCCAGCAGCCGCGGUAAUACGUAGGUGGCAAGCGUUGUCCGGUAUUUAGUUGGGCGUAAAGCGAGCGCAGGUCGGUUUCUUAAGUCUGAUGUGAAACGCCCCCGGCUCGAACCGGGGAGGUCAUUGGAAACUGGGAAACUUGAGUGCAGAAGAGGAGAGUGGAAUUCCAUGUGUAGCGGUGAAAUGCGUAGAUAUAUGGAGGAACACCAGUGGCGAAGGCGGCUCUCUGGUCUGUAACUGACGCUGAGGCUCGAAAGCGUGGGGAGCAAAAC